rnacentral:rRNA from 1 species
GACGAACGCUGGCGGCGUGCUUAACACAUGCAAGUCGAACGGAAAGGCCCUGCUUUUGUGGGGUGCUCGAGUGGCGAACGGGUGAGUAACCCGUGAGUAACCUGCCCUUGACUUUGGGAUAACUUCAGGCAACUGGGGCUAAUACCGGAUAGGAGCUCCUGCUGCAUGGUGGGGGUUGGACAGUUUCGGCGGUUGGGGAUGGACUCGCGGCUUAUCAGCUUGUUGGUGGGGUAGUGGCUUACCAAGGCUUUGACUGGUAGCCGGCCUGAGAGGGUGACCGGCCACAUUGGGACUGCGAUACGGCCCAGACUCGUACGGGAGGCAGCAGGGGGGAAUAUUGCACAAUGGGCGGAAGCCUGAUGCAGCAACGCCGCGUGUGUGAUGACGGCCUUCGGGUGGUAAACCGCAUUCGCCUGUGACGAAGCGUGAGUGACGGUAAUGGGUAAAGAAGCACCGGCUAACUACGUG